rnacentral:rRNA from 2 species
UGGGGAAUAUUGGACAAUGGGCGCAAGCCUGAUCCAGCCAUGCCGCGUGAGUGAUGAAGGCCCUAGGGUUGUAAAGCUCUUUCACCGGUGAAGAUAUUGACGGUAACCGGAGAAGAAGCCCCGGCUAACUUCGUGCCAGCAGCCGCGGUAAUACGAAGGGGGCUAGCGUUGUUCGGAUUUACUGGGCGUAAAGCGCACGUAGGCGGACUAUUAAGUCAGGGGUGAAAUCCCGGGGCUCAACCCCGGAACUGCCUUUGAUACUGGUAGUCUUGAGUUCGAGAGAGGUGAGUGGAAUUCCGAGUGUAGAGGUGAAAUUCGUAGAUAUUCGGAGGAACACCAGUGGCGAAGGCGGCUCACUGGCUCGAUACUGACGCUGAGGUGCGAAAGCGUGGGGAGCAAACAGG